GCUCCUACCUAUUUCGAGUGGUCCGGUGAACCUUUUGGACAGCGCGUGGCUUCGUGCCAUGCGUGGAAAAUCAAGUAAACCAUAUCACUUAGAGGAAGGAGAAGUCGUAACAAGGUUUCC
rnacentral:rRNA from 1 species